AUAUGAAGAGCUUGCUCGGAUUUGAAGAUGAACAUUGCAAAGAGUGGCGAACGGGUGAGUAACACGUGGGAAACCUACCUCUUAGCGGGGGAUAACACUUGGAAACAAGUGCUAAUACCGCAUAAUACUGAUAACCGCAUGGUUAUCAGUUGAAAGAUGGUUCUGCUAUCACUAAGAGAUGGUCCCGCGGUGUAUUAGCUAGUUGGUAAGGUAAUGGCUUACCAAGGCAAUGAUACAUAGCCGAGUUGAGAGACUGAUCGGCCACAAUGGGACUGAGACACGGCCCAUACUCCUACGGGAGGCAGCAGUAGGGAAUCUUCCACAAUGGACGAAAGUCUGAUGGAGCAACGCCGCGUGUGUGAUGAAGGGUUUCGGCUCGUAAAACACUGUUGUAAGAGAAGAAUGACAUUGAGAGUAACUGUUCAGUGUGUGACGGUAUCUUACCAGAAAGGAACGGCUAAAUACGUGCCAGCAGCCGCGGUAAUACGUAUGUUCCAAGCGUUAUCCGGAUUUAUUGGGCGUAAAGCGAGCGCAGACGGUUGUUUAAGUCUGAAGUGAAAGCCCACAGCUUAACUGUGGAAGUGCUUUGGAAACUGGAUAACUUGAGUGCAGUAGAGGAGAGUGGAACUCCAUGUGGUAG
rnacentral:rRNA from 1 species